UGCUUGACCUUGAAGCAAUCCUUUUUGAGGCAGAGGUGACGAAGGGGUUGGCAGGCAGGAUUUAUUGUGCUCCGAGGAAUGCAGAGGGAGCACAUGAACAUAAAUAUACAGAGAAACAGGAGCGGGAAUCAUAGAUGGAUCUGGCAGAUAAGACUUGGGCCUGUAUCUAUAAGUAGGUCAAAAGUGUGAUCGUAUCAUCUCCAAUGGAAAUACAAUUCAAAAUCUGGUCUGGGUGGUAUAUGAUGCCAGACAAGCUUCAUUGGAAACAUAAAACAUUAUCUCCAUUAUUCUGGUAAGACUGCAGAGUAAGUAGGAUAGUCAACAUAAAUAAUAGACUUGAGAAGUUAGGUGCAAAAUAUAUAAGGUAACUGGAAAUAUUGCACAGAAAACCAUCCUACUGAGCAAUGCCAAAGUUGUGUGGCCUGCAUGCUGAAGAACUUGGAGCGUUCACCAUAUCCAGUGGAAGCAGAAGAAAGCCAGUGGCAGAGUUACUUGUCCACUGAAGAGUAUGUGGGCAUGACACACCUGAGCUGAUUCCCCUGGUUCUCAUUACACAAAGAAAGAGGAAGAAAAGAGAAGCAGAAAGGUUGGAUGUUGCUAGCAGGUAGUGAAAGCUCUUGCAAAAAAGGUCUUUAGUACUUCAACUGGCCCAGAGAGAAAGGAGAAAAAAGAAUGAAAACAUAUUGAAAGAGAGUGGUAGUGGAGAGAAAUGAAAGGUGAUGAGAAGGUGUGGAAAAAAAGAAACAGAACAAGCAGAAUUGCAGAGUCAGAACAGACUACAUGUUUACUUUCUUUAAAAAGGUACCACCCAGGCAAAGAGAAAACUGGAGUUUUUAUUUGAAUUUCUUUUGCAACGUCUGAGUAAACAUUUACAAGACAAAGAAAAGUGGAAGUCCUAAUCUCUUAACCAGCAUCUCAAGACAAAGACCUCAGAUCUCUGAGUUCAGUUCCCUAAAACAUUCCUACCUAUUGCUCAGAUUCCACCAAUUAUUCCUUUUUCUUUCAUUUUUUUCCCCCUACUAUUAGCUCUUGAACUCCCUGGUUUGUUCUCGAUAUCUUUUGGGUGACUUUUCAAAAUUCAGAUCAUUCCAAAGUAAAAUCUCUAACCGUCCUUUCAACCAAGAGUCUUCUUUCUUUUUGACAUCACGACUUUUCUCUUUGAUAACUUCAAAUGCUUUUCCCUCUUUGCAGUGAGUACUUAAUUUUCACCAGUGGUUUUGCUUUUCUAGCAGACAUGGCAGUAGGACCCUGAAUGUUGUUUAUCUUCUUUGGCCACUGGUUACCUUCUUCUUCUUUUUUUUAAUUUUUUUUAAUUUUUUUUUUUACAUUUCAAUUAUUUUGAUAUAAACAACACUUUCAUUUGUUCAACAUUAUUGUGAGGGAUUUUGUUUUUCCUAAUUAUGCAAAAAUACCCUUGCUUUUAACAUUCAAUUAAAGCUGCCUUUAUGUGUUAACAGCAGCACAACGGAGGUUUUCAUCCUGGGCGCUCCUUUCUCUGACUGUGAAACAAAUAAAAGCCAAGCUUUCGCAUUUCA
rnacentral:lncRNA from 1 species